rnacentral:rRNA from 1 species
CAGCCGCCGCGGGAAUACGCAGGUGGCAAGCGUUGUCCGGAAUUAUUGGGCGUAAAGGGCUCGCAGGCGGUUUCUUAAGUCUGAUGUGAAAGCCCCCGGCUCAACCGGGGAGGGUCAUUGGAAACUGGGAAACUUGAGUGCAGAAGAGGAGAGUGGAAUUCCACGUGUAGCGGUGAAAUGCGUAGAGAUGUGGAGGAACACCAGUGGCGAAGGCGACUCUCUGGUCUGUAACUGACGCUGAGGAGCGAAAGCGUGGGGAGCGAACAGGACUAGAUACCCCAGUAGUCCCUGUCUCUUAUAC